CAUAGGUUAAUGAGGCGAACCGGGGGAACUGAAACAUCUAAGUACCCCGAGGAAAAGAAAUCAACCGAGAUUCCCCCAGUAGCGGCGAGCGAACGGGGAGCAGCCCAGAGCCUGAAUCAGUGUGUGUGUUAGUGGAAGCGUCUGGAAAGGCGCGCGAUACAGGGUGACAGCCCCGUACACAAAAAUGCACAUACUGUGAGCUCGAUGAGUAGGGCGGGACACGUGGUAUCCUGUCUGAAUAUGGGGGGACCAUCCUCCAAGGCUAAAUACUCCUGACUGACCGAUAGUGAACCAGUACCGUGAGGGAAAGGCGAAAAGAACCCCGGCGAGGGGAGUGAAAAAGAACCUGAAACCGUGUACGUACAAGCAGUGGGAGCACGCUUAGGCGUGUGACUGCGUACCUUUUGUAUAAUGGGUCAGCGACUUAUAUUCUGUAGCAAGGUUAACCGAAUAGGGGAGCCGAAGGGAAACCGAGUCUUAACUGGGCGUUAAGUUGCAGGGUAUAGACCCGAAACCCGGUGAUCUAGCCAUGGGCAGGUUGAAGGUUGGGUAACACUAACUGGAGGACCGAACCGACUAAUGUUGAAAAAUUAGCGGAUGACUUGUGGCUGGGGGUGAAAGGCCAAUCAAACCGGGAGAUAGCUGGUUCUCCCCGAAAGCUAUUUAGGUAGCGCCUCGUGAAUUCAUCUCCGGGGGUAGAGCACUGUUUCGGCAAGGGGGUCAUCCCGACUUACCAACCCGAUGCAAACUGCGAAUACCGGAGAAUGUUAUCACGGGAGACACACGGCGGGUGCUAACGUCCGUCGUGAAGAGGGAAACAACCCAGACCGCCAGCUAAGGUCCCAAAGUCAUGGUUAAGUGGGAAACGAUGUGGGAAGGCCCAGACAGCCAGGAUGUUGGCUUAGAAGCAGCCAUCAUUUAAAGAAAGCGUAAUAGCUCACUGGUCGAGUCGGCCUGCGCGGAAGAUGUAACGGGGCUAAACCAUGCACCGAAGCUGCGGCAGCGACGCUGAUGCGUUGUUGGGUAGGGGAGCGUUCUGUAAGCCUGUGAAGGUGUGCUGUGAGGCAUGCUGGAGGUAUCAGAAGUGCGAAUGCUGACAUAAGUAACGAUAAAGCGGGUGAAAAGCCCGCUCGCCGGAAGACCAAGGGUUCCUGUCCAACGUUAAUCGGGGCAGG
rnacentral:rRNA from 1 species